rnacentral:rRNA from 1 species
GACGAACGCUGGCGGCGUGCUUAACACAUGCAAGUCGAACGCUGAAGCUUGGUGCUUGCACUGGGUGGAUGAGUGGCGAACGGGUGAGUAAUACGUGAGUAACCUGCCCUUGACUCUGGGAUAAGCCUGGGAAACUGGGUCUAAUACUGGAUACGACAUGUCACCGCAUGGUGGUGUGUGGAAAGGGUUUUACUGGUUUUGGAUGGGCUCACGGCCUAUCAGCUUGUUGGUGGGGUAAUGGCUCACCAAGGCGACGUCGGGUAGCCGGCCUGAGAGGGUGACCGGCCACACUGGGACUGAGACACGGCCCAGACUCCUACGGGAGGCAGCAGCGGGGAAUAUUGCACAAUGGGCGGAAGCCUGAUGCAGCGACGCCGCGUGAGGGAUGACGGCCUUCGGGUUGUAAACCUCUUUCAGCACGGAAGAAGCGAAAGUGACGGUACGUGCAGAAGAAGCGCCGGCUAACUACGUG